AACGAACGCUGGCGGCGUGGAUUGGGCAUGCAAGUCGAACGCGAAAGAGGGGGUAACUCCUCGAGUAGAGUGGCGAACGGGUGAGUAACACGUGAGAAACCUGCCUUCAGCAGGGGGAUAACACUCCCAACGGGGUGCUAAUACCGCAUGAGACCACGGAUUCGCAUGGAUCUGGGGUCAAAGGUGGCCUCUGCUUGCAAGCUACCGGCUGAAGAUGGUCUCGCGCCCAUUAGCUAGUUGGUGGGGUAAUGGCCCACCAAGGCGACGAUGGGUAGCUGGUCUGAGAGGAUGGUCAGCCACACUGGGACUGAGAUACGGCCCAGACUCCUACGGGAGGCAGCAGUCGAGAGGCUUUGGCAAUGGGGAAACCCUGACCAAGCGACGCCGCGUGGGGGA
rnacentral:rRNA from 1 species